CUCAAUGGCAUAUAUUAAAGUGUGCGGUUAAAAAGCUCGUAGUCCAACUACUUGUUUGGGCUGGAUCUCGUGGACUGUAAGUUCCUUUAAUUAGGCUGUCCAUGGCCACGCUCAACCAAUCAACCGCUUCAACCUAUAAUAUGGUUUGGCUAUACAUAGCCGGCUCACACGGGGAUGCUCUUGACCGAGUGUCCCUGAGUGGCUGGCCUGUUUACUUUGAAAAAAUUAGAGUGCUCAAAGCAGGCAACCAAUUGGGCCUGAAUGGUUAUGCAUGGAAUAAUGAAAUAUGACUUCUGGUCCAUUUUUUUUCUCAUAGAGAGAGAUACUGAUCAUUUCAAGAUCAACAACAAUCACUAUCUUGUGUACCGGUUUUCCAAAGGAUACUGAUGAUGGUGAUGAGUAUGUGCCUCACGGCGGCCAGUGUCCAGUAGUAGUAGUAGUACUAUGUCCUACCUACUUACUUACUGCCUGGCCUGUGUUGAUGUGUGCCAUCUCAUCUUAGUCAUAUCUGUGGGAACCAGUUGUAAUGAUCAAUAGAGACUGCUGGGGGCAUUUGUACUGAGGCGCGAGAGGUGAAAUUCUGUGACCGUCUCAAGACAAACAACAGCGAAGGCAUUUGCCAAGGAUGUUUUCACUGAUCAAGAACGAAAGUUAGAGGUUCGAAGGCGAUCAGAUACCGCCCUAGUUCUAACCGUAAACGAUGCUAACCAGCAAUCCGCCGGUUGUUAUACCAAUGACCUGGCGAGCAGCUUCCGGGAAACCAAAGUCUUUGAGUUCCGGGGGAAGUAUGGUUGCAAAGCUGAAACUUAAAGGAAUUGACGGAAGGGCACCACCAGGAGUGGAGCCUGCGGCUUAAUUUGACUCAACACGGGAAACCUCACCAGGUCCGGACACUAGAAGGAUUGACAGAAUGAAAGCUCUUUCUCGAUUCGUGGGUGGGUG
rnacentral:rRNA from 1 species